GACGAACGCUGGCGGCGUGCCUAACACAUGCAAGUCGAACGGAAAGGCCCUGCUUGCAGGGUACUCGAGUGGCGAACGGGUGAGUAACACGCGGGUGAUCUGCCCUGCACUUCGGGAUAAGUCUGGGAAACUGGGUCUAAUACCGGACAGGAGCCAUAUUUAGUGUGAUGGUUGGAAAGUUUUUUCGGUGUAGGAUGAGCUCGCGGCCUAUCAGCUUGUGGGUGGGGUAAUGGCCUACCAAGGCGGCGACGGGUAGCCGGCCUGGGGGGGUGGACGGCCACAUUGAGACUGAGAUACGGCCCAGGCUCCUACGGGUGGCAGCGGUGGGGAAUAGUGCACAAGGAGCGCAGGCCUGAUGCAGCUACGCCGCUUGGGGGAUGACGGUCUUCGGGUUGUAGACUCCUUUCGCUAGGGACGAAGCUUUUUGUGACGGUACCUAGAUAAGAAGCACCGGCUAACUACGUG
rnacentral:rRNA from 1 species